UUUACAGGUCAUGAUGUGGAUUUCAAAUUCCUUUAGUCUCCUGGCCCUUCAUUCUUAGGAGUAAACCGGAGUUGAUCUUUAAAGUUAUUUGAUACCCGCAUUGUUUAAAGUCUGUUUUUAUUCCUCUUCAAGGCUCCUUGAAAUGCUGUCUCCAGCCCAUGCCUCCCAUUCCCACUCAGCCUUCCAUGACCGCAAACAUGAAAGAAAGACUCCUACAAAGGAAGACUAUCCACUCUCCUGGCCUGGAAGUGUUUGAAGAAAUCCUCAGGGGAUAUAACACCCAGGGCACAUAUGCCAAUAUGUCGGCCCAUUUUGAACGGCUGGAAUGUAGAAGCGGACUUUUGGCCACGUGGAUGAGGAAUUGAAGCAGUCAGUUCUGAUCUAGAGAUGGAAGGCGCCUGCUGAGGACAGCAGGGCUGCUUGGCACCCUGGGUCUCUGAAUGGCUCUGUGGAGCACUGCCUGAUGGCCCACCCUGGACUGUUGCCUGAGACAGAAAUAAACUUCUAUCUUGUUUC